ACGGCCGCAAGGUUAAAACUCAAAUGAAUUGACGGGGGCCCGCACAAGCGGUGGAGCAUGUGGUUUAAUUCGAUGCAACGCGAAGAACCUUACCUGGUCUUGACAUCCACGGAAGUUUUCAGAGAUGAGAAUGUGCCUUCGGGAACCGUGAGACAGGUGCUGCAUGGCUGUCGUCAGCUCGUGUUGUGAAAUGUUGGGUUAAGUCCCGCAACGAGCGCAACCCUUAUCCUUUGUUGCCAGCGGUCCGGCCGGGAACUCAAAGGAGACUGCCAGUGAUAAACUGGAGGAAGGUGGGGAUGACGUCAAGUCAUCAUGGCCCUUACGACCAGGGCUACACACGUGCUACAAUGGCGCAUACAAAGAGAAGCGACCUCGCGAGAGCAAGCGGACCUCAUAAAGUGCGUCGUAGUCCGGAUUGGAGUCUGCAACUCGACUCCAUGAAGUCGGAAUCGCUAGUAAUCGUGGAUCAGAAUGCCACGGUGAAUACGUUCCCGGGCCUUGUACACACCGCCCGUCACACCAUGGGAGUGGGUUGCAAAAGAAGUAGGUAGCUUAACCUUCGGGAGGGCGCUUACCACUUUGUGAUUCAUGACUGGGGUGAAGUCGUAACAAGGUAACCGUAGGGGAACCUGCGGUUGGAUCAC
rnacentral:rRNA from 2 species